rnacentral:rRNA from 1 species
AUGUCCUUGAUCUCCAAAAUAGACCCAUAUACUAUGAAGAUGGAGAUGGGUGAUGGCACGUUCGUAGAUGUCAAUGCCAAUGUUGUUGCUAGAGCAAUUGCUCUCCCUAGCGGUGGUAGGAAAAUAGACACUCAGGGUGGGCAUUGCCUUGCAGACCGCGAGUACCUGCUUGGUAAGGUGCACGCAUUACUAGGCACGGACAUGCCGAGGUCAAACAAUAUUCCAGUUCAUGGUGUUAAGAAGAUAGUUCAGGGAGCUAGCAAGGUAGCCAUUGAGGGUGACGAGCGGACCGCGAUGAAGGCCGCCUUCGCGGUUGUAGCCAGCUCCACUUUCCUUGUGCGGAGCGGUGCAACUGCUAAAAUAGCAAAUGAGCUCCUACCCGUAGUUGCCGAGCCAGACAGAAUAUGCAAGUAUGAUUUCUGUGACUAUGUGGUUGAGGGACUUAGGGAAGCAGCACGGAAGCUUAGAGAUGAUCUAGCAACAAAUCCAGCAUUUGUUGUUCUUGGCGGGUGCCUUAUUGUACCACAGAUCAUAGGGUUGGACUACCAUGAGCAUAGUGUGCAAGGUUUGGAGCAGCUGCCACUGCCUAGGAUCUCUAGUUAUUCAGAUGUGUUGUUGAAGGAUCUCAUCCGCAAGCAUGCUACUAGAUUCGGGAUUGAAUGCGGUCUAGAUCUUGCGGAUGUCCCCCGCUCUCCAUCAAUGAACAUUCCACGCUCAGUUCCACUUGGGGGAAAUGGAAGAGCUGGAGGAGCUGAUCCGAUGCGUUCUGGUGGUGCAGCGCAACCCGCAAACAACAUGUGCCAUCAUGGGCCUGUGUGGACUGAUGAGAUGAUAGGUUCUGUCAAGGCUACGCUCGAGUGUCAGUUCUAG